rnacentral:rRNA from 1 species
UACGGGGGGGCGAAGCGUUGUUCGGAAUUACUGGGCGUAAAGGGCUCGUAGGUGGCCAACUAAGUCAGACGUGAAAUCCCUCGGCUUAACCGGGGAACUGCGUCUGAUACUGGAUGGCUUGAGUUUGGGAGAGGGAUGCGGAAUUCCAGGUGUAGCGGUGAAAUGCGCAGAUAUCGGGAGGAACACCAGUAGCGAAGGCGACACUCUGGGCCGGUACUGACGCUGAGGAGCGAAAGCGUGGGGAGCAAACAGG